CUGGAAGCAAGAGUGGAGAGCUGGCAGAGCCAGGGGAAUGGAGGCAGGAAGGACAGCGGGAGAGUUGACACACUGUGAAAGAACUCA
rnacentral:lncRNA from 1 species